rnacentral:tRNA from 1 species
CAGGGGUUAGUUUUAUUAAAAUGUCAGUUUUGGGGACUGAGGAUAGGGGUUAACCCUACCCCUGA